GGACGGGCCCCGCACAAGCAGCGGAGCGUGUGGUUAAUUCGAUGUUACACGAAGAACCUUACCAGGGUUUGACAUGCAAGUGGUAGGAAGCCGAAAGGUGACCGACCCUUCGGGGAGCUUGCACAGGUGCUGCAUGGCUGUCGUCAGCUCGUGUCGUGAGAUGUUCGGUUAAGUCCACUAACGAGCGCAACCCUCGCUGUGUGUUAUAUGUGUCACACGGGACUGCCGGUCUUAAGCCGGAGGAAGGUGGGGAUGAUGUCAAGUCAGCAUGGCCUUUAUAUCCUGGGCUACACACACGCUACAAUGGCCAACACAAUAGGUUGCUAAGCCGCGAGGUGGCGCCAAUCCAUAAAGUUGGUCUCAGUUCAGAUUGUAGGCUGCAACCCGCCUGCAUGAAGAUGGAGUUGCUAGUAACCGCAGGUCAGCUAUACUGCGGUGAAUACGUUCCCGGGGCUU
rnacentral:rRNA from 1 species